UACAGGGGGGGCAAGCGUUGUUCGGAAUUACUGGGCGUAAAGGCUCGUAGGCGGCCAACUAAGUCCGACGUGAAAUCCCAAAGCUUAACUUUGGAACUGCGUCGGAUACUGGAUGGCUUGAAUUCGGGAGAGGGAUGCAGAAUUCCAGGUGUAGCGGUGAAAUGCGUAGAUAUCUGGAGGAAUACCGGUGGCGAAGGCGGCAUCCUGGACCGAGAUUGACGCUGAGGAGCGAAAGCUAGGGGAGCAAACGGG
rnacentral:rRNA from 1 species